rnacentral:ncRNA from 1 species
UAAAUGACGAUGAAGAGAAGUAGUAGAUUAUUCUGAUUCUAAUAGAGAGGGGCAGAUGGUGGAAGUGUCCUAGAUAGGUUUUUCGAAGCAGUCUUUGAGUCUUUUGGUGGAAACUAAGUAUACCAAAACGUAUUGCUGCGUUAAAGCAUUGAGAUGUCCGUCUAAGGAUGAAUCAGGGUGGUACCGCGAAUAUUUGCUCGCCCCUGCA